rnacentral:rRNA from 1 species
AAUAUUGGACAAUGGGGGGAACCCUGAUCCAGCCAUGCCGCGUGUGUGAAGAAGGUCUUCGGAUUGUAAAGCACUUUAAGUUGGGAGGAAGAGUUGUAGGCUAAUACCUUGCAAUUUUGACGUUACCAACAGAAUAAGCACCGGGUAACUUCGUGCCAGCAGCCGCGGUAAUACGAAGGGUGCAAGCGUUAAUCGGAAUUAUUGGGUGUAAAGCGCGCGUAGGUGGUUCGUUAAGUUGGAAGUGAAAGCCCCGGGCUUAACCUGGGAAUUGCUUUCAAAACUGACGGGCUAGAGUACGGUAGAGGGUAGUGGAAUUUCCUGUGUAGCGGUGAAGUGCGUAGGUAUAGGAAGAAACAUCAGUGGCGAAGGCGACUACCUGGACUGAUACUGACACUGAGGUGCGAAAUCGUGGGGAGCAAACA